rnacentral:rRNA from 1 species
UGGGGAAUAUUGCACAAUGGGCGCAAGCCUGAUGCAGCCAUGCCGCGUGUGUGAAGAAGGCCUUCGGGUUGUAAAGCACUUUCAGCGGGGAGGAAGGCGGUGAGGUUAAUAACCUCAUCGAUUGACGUUACCCGCAGAAGAAGCACCGGCUAACUCCGUGCCAGCAGCCGCGGUAAUACGGAGGGUGCAAGCGUUAAUCGGAAUUACUGGGCGUAAAGCGCACGCAGGCGGUCUGUCAAGUCGGAUGUGAAAUCCCCGGGCUCAACCUGGGAACUGCAUUCGAAACUGGCAGGCUAGAGUCUUGUAGAGGGGGGUAGAAGUCCAGGUGUAGCGGUGAAAUGCGUAGAGGUCUGGAGGAAUACCGGUGGCGAAGGCGGCCCCCUGGACAAAGACUGACGCUCAGGUGCGAAAGCGUGGGGAGCAAACAGG